AACGAACGCUGGCGGCAUGCCUAACACAUGCAAGUCGAACGAGACCUUCGGGUCUAGUGGCGCACGGGUGCGUAACGCGUGGGAAUCUGCCCUUGGGUGCGGAAUAACAGUUAGAAGUGACUGCUAAUACCGCAUAAUGACUCCGGUCCAAAGAUUUAUCGCCCAGGGAUGAGCCCGCGUCGGAUUAGCUAGUUGGUAGGGUAAAAGCCUACCAAGGCAACGAUCCGUAGCUGGUCUGAGAGGAUGAUCAGCCACACUGGGACUGAGACACGGCCCAGACUCCUACGGGAGGCAGCAGUGGGGAAUAUUGAACAAUGGGCGAAAGCCUGAUCCAGCAAUGCCGCGUGAGUGAUGAAGGCCUUAGGGUUGUAAAGCUCUUUUACCCGGGAUGAUAAUGACAGUACCGGGAGAAUAAGCCCCGGCUAACUCCGUGCCAGCCGCCGCCGUAAGAC
rnacentral:rRNA from 1 species